rnacentral:rRNA from 1 species
AAAAGGUGGCUAUGCUACCGCUUUUGGAUGGGCCCGCGGCGCAUUAGCUAGUUGGUGGGGUAAAGGCUUACCAAGGCAAUGAUGCGUAGCCGAACUGAGAGGUUGAUCGGCCACAUUGGGACUGAGACACGGCCCAAACUCCUACGGGAGGCAGCAGUAGGGAAUCUUCCACAAUGGGCGAAAGCCUGAUGGAGCAACGCCGCGUGGGUGAAGAAGGUCUUCGGAUCGUAAAACCCUGUUGUUAGAGAAGAAAGUGCGUGAGAGUAACCGUUCACGUUUCGACGGUAUCUAACCAGAAAGCCACGGCUAACUACGUGCCAGCAGCCGCGGUAAUACGUAGGUGGCAAGCGUUAUCCGGAUUUAUUGGGCGUAAAGGGAACGCAGGCGGUCUUUUAAGUCUGAUGUGAAAGCCUUCGGCUUAACCGGAGUAGUGCAUUGGAAACUGGGAGACUUGAGUGCAGAAGAGGAGAGUGGAACUCCAUGUGUAGCGGUGAAAUGCGUAGAUAUAUGGAAGAACACCAGUGGCGAAAGCGGCUCUCUGGUCUGUAACUGACGCUGAGGUUCGAAAGCGUGGGUAGCAAACAGGAUUAGAUACCCUGGUAGUCCACGCCGUAAACGAUGAAUGCUAAGUGUUGGAGGGUUUCCGCCCU